rnacentral:rRNA from 1 species
UUGCCAUCAGGUCAAGCUGGGGACUCUAAUGAAACUGCCUACGCAAGUAGUGAGGAAGGUGGGGAUGACGUCAAAUCAGCACGGCCCUUACGUCCAGGGCUACACACGUGCUACAAUGGCCGGUACAAAGGGCAGCUACCUGGUGACAGGAUGCUAAUCUCAAAAGCCGGUCUCAGUUCGGAUCGGAGUCUGCAACCUGACUCCGUGAAGCUGGAAUCGCUAGUAAUCGCGCAUCAGCCAUGGCGCGGUGAAUACGUUCCCGGGCCUU